rnacentral:rRNA from 1 species
GAUGAACGCUGGCGGCGUGCCUAAUACAUGCAAGUCGAGCGAACGGACGAGAAGCUUGCUUCUCUGAUGUUAGCGGCGGACGGGUGAGUAACACGUGGAUAACCUACCUAUAAGACUGGGAUAACUUCGGGAAACCGGAGCUAAUACCGGAUAAUAUUUUGAACCGCAUGGUUCAAAAGUGAAAGACGGUCUUGCUGUCACUUAUAGAUGGAUCCGCGCUGCAUUAGCUAGUUGGUAAGGUAACGGCUUACCAAGGCAACGAUGCAUAGCCGACCUGAGAGGGUGAUCGGCCACACUGGAACUGAGACACGGUCCAGACUCCUACGGGAGGCAGCAGUAGGGAAUCUUCCGCAAAGGGCGAAAGCCUGACGGAGCAAUGCCGCGUGAGUGAUGAAGGUCUUCGGAUCGUAAAACUCUGUUAUUAGGGAAGAACAUAUGUGUAAGUAACUGUGCACAUCUUGACGGUACCUAAUCAGAAAGCCACGGCUAACUACGUG